UUCUCCUCAGCCAUAACCUGUGUUUUCUCCCUCCAAGAGACCAGCCCGCCACAAGGUAUGGUGACCGGCGCUCGCAGGCUUCGAAACAUGGUUUCUUUCAGCCACCGGGUUCCCUUCGAACCCUGAUUUUGACGAAGCAAAAGGGAAUCCGCGGCCCAAACUCAAGGUAAGUCCCCUUUUUCUUUUCUUUUUUUGAAUGUAAAAUGACAAAAAUUAAAAAAAGGGAAGAAAUAGCAAAUAGAACCGAAGAACAAAGAUCACCUUCUCAAGAAGUGGCUUUCUGAUUUUCAAGCAAUGUGUAUUGCGUAUGUAUUGUGUGUAUUCAUUUAUAUUGCCUUCGUAACCAUUACAAAGAUUAAAUCGUUGGCUUUAUAGCCGAAAAGAAAUCAAAAGAUAAAAAAUACAAACAAAUUCCUAUUGGCUGUCGUUCUCGCUGCUGUUUUUUGUUUCCUUUCGCAGGUACAGGUGCGUGGCGUAUGUACGAGGCUGUAGUGGCGUACGAGGGCUAUUGACGUAGAGGCCCGAGCGUUGUACGGCGCCUGGAGGCUGCAGUAGUUGCUGCGGCACAAGCAGAGGAGAUGACCUAGGGUUUCUGAGGCUGUUAGGGAAAUGGGCCUAUAGGGCUUGCUCCGAUUUGGGUUCUAACAUUAAUUUGGGCUUGUAAUGGGCAUCGGGUUUGUCUUUGGAUCAUAGGAUUGGUCUUUGUAAAUAGGCUAUGGGCUAUAUUAGUAAUUUUUGGACUAAUGGACUGUAAAAGGACAUUUGGGUUUUAUGUUUAUUAUUUUUGGUUUGUUUUUUGUUUUUUUAUAUGGGUCGAACAAAUUUGGCCCACUACAGCUACCCCUCUUUGCUCAUUGUUGUGUAACGAGAAUAGAGCAAAGACUAUCAAAUGACCAAAUUUGCCCAGUCUGGCUAAGUCUCAAAAUCUUGACCCUCAUCUUCCCCAAAGGUAUUCUGAUGUCUUUAGGAGUGUCAAAUUGGCUAUCCUCAACUUGCUUCUUGAAAACUCAGGAACACCAAUCUGUUAUUUUCGAUCUGCUCUCUGCCAAUACAGAGAUGCCAAAUCUGCUAUCUUCGAUCUGCUCUCUGUCAAUACAGAGACGCCAAAUCUGCUAUAUUCGAUCUACCCUCUGACAAUACAGAGACGCCAAAUCUGCUAUCUUCGAUCUGCCCUCUAACAAUACAGAGACACCAAAUCUGCUAUAUUCGAUCUGCUCCUUGCCAAUACAGAGACGCCAAAUCUGUUAUCUUCGAUCUGCUCUCCGCUAAUACAGAGACACCAAAUCUGCUAUCUUCAAUUUACUCUCCGCCAGUACAGAGACGCCAAAUCUGCUUAUCUUUAAUCUGCUCUCCGCCAAUACAGAGACGCCAAAUCUGCUAUCUUCGAUCUGCCCUCUGACAAUACAGAGACGUCAAAUCUGUUAUCUUCGAUCUGCUCUCUGUCAACACAGAGAUGCCAAAUCUGCUAUCUUCGAUCUGCUCUCUACCAAUACAGAGACGCCAAAUCUGCUAUCUUCGAUCUGCUCUCCGCUAAUACAGAAACGCCAAAUCUGCUAUCUUCGAUUUGCUCUCCGCCAAUACAGAGACGCCAAAUCUGCUAUCUUCGAUCUGCUCUCUGUCAACACAGAGAUGCCAAAUCUGCUAUCUUUGAUUUGCUCUCUGCCAAUACAGAGACGCCAAAUCUGCUAUCUUAAUCUGCCCCCUGCCAAUACAAAGACGUCAAAUCUGUUAUCUUCGAUCUACUCUCUGUCAACACAGAGAUGCCAAAUCUGCUAUCUUCGAUCUACUCUCCGCCAAUACAAGAACGCCAAAUCUGCAGGAUUCGCCAAUGUCGCUACACUGUCUUCUAAAGACAUGAUGUAUAGAAUGGGUUUCCUGUAUCUGUGUAUGUCAAAUAACUAGGAUACUAUGAUCGAGAUGAAUCAAACAUCCCUAACUAGAUGUAGUGUUUAUGUCAAAUAAUUAGAAUGCUAUGAUCGAAAUGAAUCAAGUGCUCCUAACUAAAUGAAUGAUUACGAAUGUAGAAAUGUCAUGAGAGUGAUUCCUUUUUAAACGCUUAAGGUAUCAUUGCUCAUAAUUCACCAAGGUUCUAUCAUUGAUGUACUAUCACGCUCUCUUACUUAGCCGUUAUCUUUGAUAGAAAAUUUGAAGAAAUAGUCACAAGUAGGACUCUUCUUUUUCGAAUGUUUCCAACUUUGAACCUGAUUAGUCCUAACUAGUGGCCCUGUUUCAGGUUCUUGUACUAUUUAGAGACUUUCCAAAGUAAUAUGCAUAACAUCUUUUGUGUGAAUAUUACAUGUCCAAAAAUCGCGAUUUCAACAAAAAUGCUCGCAAGAGAUUAUCAUAAUGGACAAAUGGAAUUUUAUUAAGCAAAAUUUGACGUGAAUACAUAGGAUCACGAAUAUGAUAAGGUGCAAAGAAUGAGAAAAAGGUGCCCCAGAUAUCGCAGCACGAGUUUCACUAUUCUAAUUUCUCAAAGGCUCCUUCGAACCAAAUGUAUAUUCAGGAGAUCCUGCGAAUUUUUUUGAUUCUCCAAGGUGUACUGUUCUUCUGUCUUGCUGAUUUCGGGAGGACAAGACUACCAUAUGCCCCAUAUUUAAAAUUUGAGCUGCCCGUUUUUGGGUUUUCAACUCAAAAGCCCCUUUGGUUCUAAAGUGCCCUUUGCGGGUUUUCACCUUGGCCUCUCCAUUAUUUUUUUUCAGAGUUCAGAGCGCCCUUUGCGGGUUUUCACUCUAGCCUCUCUUUCUUCAGGUAAAAUAUUUCUUGACCGAACCUGAGUUUACAGGAUUGGGCAAGUUUCUACCAUCCAUCUUAGCUAGAAUCAAUACUCCUCCGGAGAAAGUUUUCUUCACCACGUAAGGUUCUUCCCAAUUAGGCAUCCAUUUCCCUCGAAAAUCCUUCUGUAUGGGGAGGAUCUUUUUCAAAACCAGAUUUCCCUCGUGGAAUUCUCUAGGGCGAACCUUUUUGUCAUAAGCCUGCAUCAUUCGUUUUUGGUAUAUCUGACCAUGACGAAUAGCUUUUAGCUUUUUUUCCUCGAUCAAGUUCAAUUGGUCAUAUCGAUACUGGACCCACUCUGUUUUAUCCAAUUUUAGUUCCGACGACACUCGGAAGGAUGGGAUCUCGACUUCGAUGGGCAAAACUGCUUUCAUUCUGUAGACCAGGGAGAAAGGCGUUGCCCCAGUUGAGGUUCUGACCGAUGUUCGAUAAGUAAAGAGGGCAAAUGGUAAUUUCUCAUGCCAAUCUUUGUAGGUCUCGGUCAUCUUUCCCACGAUAUUCUUAAUAUUUUUAUUGGCUGCUUCCACUGCCCUAUUCAUCUUCGGGCGAUAUGGUGACGAGUUGUGAUGUCUGAUCUUAAAUUGACUGCAGACUUCCACUAUCGUACUGUUGUUCAAGUUUAAUGCAUUGUCAGAUAUGGUCCUCCCCGGUAUUCCAUAUCGACAUAUGAUCUCUUUUUUCAAGAACCUGCUCACUGCUGACUUUGUAACACUAGCAUACAAAGCAGCUUCUACCCAUUUGGUGAAGUAGUCGAUAACCAAAAAGAUGAACCGAUGCCCAUUGAAAGCUUUUGGCAAUAUUGGUCUAAUCACAUCCAUGCCCCACAUAGAGAAAGGCCAUGGGGAAACCAUGACAUGUAGCGGUGAAGGAGGCACAUGAAUUUUGUCUCUAUAAAUUUGACAUUUAUGACACCUCUUGGCGUAAUUGAUACAGUUUCCUUCCAUAGUGGACCAAUAAUACCCAAAUCUCAUAAUUUGCUUGGCCAUUGUGAAGUCAUUAGCGUGUGUCCCACAAACGCCCUCAUAGACUUCUUCCAAGAUUUUCUUAGCCUCUACAGCGUCGACGCAUCUUAAUAGCACUUGAUCCUUUCUUCUUUUGUAUAGGAUCUCCCUAUCUAAGACAUAGUUGAUGGCCAAUCUUCUCAGCGUCCUUUUGUCAUUUUUACUUGCCUGGUCGGAGUAUUCACGAUUCCUCACGUAUUGCAAUAUAUCAUGAUACCAAGGGUGAUCAUCUUUUUCUUCUUCCUCUUCAAUAUUAUAACAGUGAGCUGGAGUUUCAUAAAUGCCCAUCCGGAUGGGUUUGACAUCUUCUUGUUUGUUCACCUUGAUCAGGGAGGCUAAGGUAGCCAAAGCGUCAGUCAUCUGAUUUUCAUCUCGUGGAAGGUAGUGGAAGGUAAUAUCAUCAAACUCUUUAUCCAAAUCCAGGACCAGCUUCCGAUAAUCGAUUAACUUGGGGUCUCUGGUCUCCCAUUCUCCCUUGAGUUGAUAAAUCACUAGCGCAGAAUCUCCAUACACCUCUAGCAUUUUAAUCUUAUGUUCUAUGGCUGCACGGACUCCCAUGAUGCACGCCUCAUAUUCCACCAUAUUAUUCGUACAAUCAAAAUCCAAUUUACUAGUGAAUGGAUAAUGAUCUCCGUUUGGGGAUACCAAGACGGCCCCGAUUCCAUUGCCCACAGCAUUUGACGCCCCGUCGAAGUUCAAUUUCCAAGGAAGUUCUUCUAGAGCACCUUCUUCAGUGGUAGCAACACAUAUUAGGUCUUUAUUCAGAAAGUCGAAGUUCAAAGGCUCGUAGUCUUCCAAAGCUCUACUGGCCAGGAAAUCUGCUAUUGCACUUCUUUUUACCGCUUUCUGGUUCACAUAGACUAUGUCGAAUUUAGAAAGCAGAAUCUGCCAUCGGGCCAUCCUUCUAUUCAAGGCUGUUGACUCCAUCAUGUACUUUAAAGGGUCUAAUUUUGAUAUGAGCCAAGUGGUGUGAUACAACAUAUACUGCCUCAGCCUUCGGGUUGUCCAAAUUAGGGCACAACACAACUUCUCUAUCGGUGGGUAUCUUGUCUCACAUUCCGUGAACUUUUUACUAAGAUAGUCAAUAGCCUUCUCUUUCCUUUCUGACUCAUCAUGCUGACCCAAUACGUAUCCCAUGGAAUUCUCAAAUACUGUCAAAUACAGUAUCAAUGGCUUAUCGGGGUUAGGUGGCAUUAGCAUCGGGGCGUUGGAUAAGUACUGUUUGACCUUGUCGAAAGCCCUUUGACAUUCUUCAUCCCAUUCACCUGGGUUAUGUUUCUUGAUGAGGCAAAAGACAUGGUCACAUUUCUCGGUCAGUUGUGAAAUAAACCGAGCAAUGUAAUUUAGUCUUCUUAGAAAGCCUCGAGCCUCCUUUUGGGUACGCAGUGGAGAUAGCUCUUGUAUGGCUUUGACUUUGUCUGGAUCAAUCUCAAUCUCUUUUUCACUAACCACGAAUCCGAGCAACUUUCCAGACUUGGCUCUGAAUGUACAUUUGGCUGGGUUGAGUUUUAGCUGAAACUUCCUCAACCUCAAGAACAAUUUUCUCAAGACUUGUAUGUGCUCCUUCUCUGUUCGAGAUUUUGCGAUCAUAUUAUCGACAUAAACCUCGAUUUCUUUAUGCAUCAUGUCGUGGAACAGGGUUACCAUGGCUCUUUGAUAAGUUACCCCCGUAUUCUUCAGUCUAAAUGGCAUCACUUUGUAACAGAACGUACCCCACAUGGUUACAAAUGUAGUCUUCUCCAUAUCCUCAGGAUGCAUCUUGAUUUGGUUAUAUCCAGAAAAAUUAUCCAUGAAUGAAAACAGUAAGUGUCCUACCGUGUUGUCCACUAGGGUAUUGAUAUGAGGCAGCGGGAAAUUAUCUUUCGAGCUGGCUUUAUUCAAAUCUCUGUAGUCCACACACAUUUACACUUUUCCAUCUUUCUUAGGGACGGGGACGAUGUUAGCUACCCAAUCUGAGUAUUUUACCACCUUCAGAAAUCCGGCGUCGAACUACUUUUGAACCUCUUCUUUUAUUUUUAACAAGACAUCGGGCCUCAUUCUUCGGAGUUUUUGCUGAACUGGCUUACAUUCUUCCUUUAUGGGGAGUCAGUGUCCAGCCCAGGCAUAUCUUGGUAUGACCAUGCUAAGACAUCUUUAAAUUCUUGAAGUAAUUCAAUGAGGUCUCGCUUCAUCUCCGUAGUGAUACACGUUCCGAUCUUCACCUCUUGCCCUUCUCUUAAGCUCAUAAUUUCAACUGAUUCUUUGUGAGGUAAGAUUUGUUUCUCGUCUUGUUCUACCAUCCUCAACAAAUCAGGAGAUAAGUUACAGCCUUGGUCAUCUUCAAAAUCCUGAGAAUCCUCCAUACACACAUCUCGCUCGAAAGGUAAUUCUGAGUCGCUAGUAGUGUCACUCGUAUCAUUAAUAUCUGGGGACCUGUUAUGAGGAUGAAGGCAGAUACAAAGAAUCAAAAGAAUUCGAAACAUUUAUUUGCGUGGUAUGAUUAUGAAUGACGAAUGAAAGAAUAUUUAGAAGAAUGUUUCAAGAAUAAAAGAAUCCGAAAAUAAUCAUUUGUAUGGUUAUGAAUGAAAUUGAAAGGACGAGAGAACAUUUGCUCAAAAAUGAUAAUAACCGUGCAUUUGAUUGAAAUAACGCUUUUAAACAUUAGCCUAUUUCACAAAAGAUUCUUAUUACUCCUAGGCCUAGAGCAAUAAGUGUAUUUUGGACAUUACUCUGAAUCUGUUCUAAAAACUACAUGAAUCUCUUCCGCAGUCCAGUUGUCCAGAACACUUCCAGGUGUGUAGGGGCAAAUGUCUGACAAAUUUUCUCUUUCAGUCUCCUCUUCGUAUAUGACAUUGAUGUCUAAGCUUUCCAACCUUUCUUCUAUAGCUCCCAUCAUUGGCGUGUCUCUCUUAGGAUAAAUGAUUCCCCCGGAAAAAAAUGUUUUCGAUAUAUGGGGGAAUAUUAUUGGUUCUCACUUGAUUUUCUCCCCCGUUAACUGUGUUCUCCUUCUCUCUUGCUUCUUUUCUAGCUCCCUUCUCCUUUGUUUCGCAUCUGGCUUAAAUCCUAGGUCGAAGCGGUCUCUCUUGUCUUUCAGUAUUGGCGUUUCAAUCCUUCAUUGUAGAUGUCUCCCAAGUUCUCUCCCGGGUAGGGCCCAUUUUCCAAUCGUCAACUGGAGGCUCAUCCUCGUGGUUUUGGACAAUUUUGGCACCAGAAUUUUACUUCCCUCGGCGAUGAACGUCGCAUUAACAAAUUCUAAAGAUCGAAAUGAGCAUUCGAUUGCUUCAUCAUCUGUCUCCAAAUAUGGUGCAUUAUUGCUCACAGUUGCAAUGGUAUCCUCUUCAGCCUUGAUCGUUAUCAGCCUCCCCUCCGAUACCAGCUUCAAUUUUUUAUGCAACGAGGAAUGCACUGCCCCAGCUGAAUGUAUCCAGGGCCUCCCCAAUAAGCAAUUAUAUGAGGGCUUGAUAUCCAUCACGAGGAAAUCGGCCUCAUAUGUGUUUGGCCCGAUCUGAAGAGGUACAUCAAUUCUGCCCAUCACCUUCCUCUCCGUGCCGUCGAAUGUCUUUACGAUGUUUUGGAAUUCCUUUAUGUGAGAGCUGUCUAUAGGUAAUCUGUUAAGUGUAGUCAAGGGCAAAAUGUUCAAGGCUGAACCAUUGUCAAUCAGUACGCCUGGCAGCGUAUACCCUUUACAGUGCGUGGUAAUAUACAAAGCUUUAGUCGACUCCAUGCCCCCAGGUGGUAUCUCAUCGUCAUUGAAGAAAAUAAAAUUGUCGGCACUGAUGUUGCUAACCAAACGGUCCAACUUGUUAUCAUUGGCAACGUACGUUUCAUUCAAGACCUUCAUUAGCGCACUACGAUAAAUUUCUGAGCUUAGAAGCAAGGCCAGCACCGAGAUACGGGCUGGUUGUUUACGUAGCUGUUCCACCACACUGUAUUCGCUAUGCUUUAGGAAUUUUAAAAACUCAUUGGCCUCCUCUUCGUUAACUGGCUCGUUAACAGGUUCGGUUGCUUUUCCCUUCAUUUCCUCGACCACCUGGGUUUUUCCUUUUGUGGGCUAUGCCUCCUCAUUUGCUAUAUCGUAACGUCUCCCGCUACGUGUAUAGGAGCCCCUAUCUUGGUCCCCUCUUGAAGCGUUAACCAGGUUCUCCUUUCCCGGUAUCGUCACACUGCACUCAUAAUUCCAUGAGACAUUUUUGCUAUAUUUGUAGGGGAAGACUGCAGGUCUUUGGAUUAUGACCCUCGGUGGCACUUGUACUCUAGCUUCAUUAUUUUGGGGUCUCAAAAUGAUCACCACAGGAUAGUUAGAUGUUCGAUUCUGUACCGUCGAUUCUUCCUCCGAUGCGUAUAUAUCUCCCUCUACAGGGUUUUUGGCUUCUUCAUAAAACUCAAUUUCCUUAUUGUUCAUCAUGUUUUGCACUAAGGCUUUGAACUCCACGCAAUCUUGGAUUUCAUGCCCCACCUCAUCGUGAAACUCACAGUAGUUUCUCUCUUCUUCGGAUUCUUCCCUUGAAUCCAACGCGAUCAAUCCUCUCUUGGCCAUCUCCUUCCAUACCCGCCUCAACGGGGUCCUGACUUCUGCCACCUCAUACUUGGUCUUCUUAUUCCUACCUUCACUUAUCUCAUUCACUCAUUGGUCGAUAUGAUUAGGGAGUGGGUUUUCUGCUACAUUGGGUGUGGCUGGGUCGUCAAAUCUCACGAUCCCCAUCUUAAUAAGUCUUUCAAGUACUUUCUUAAACGCAGCGCAGUUUUCGAUAGAGUGCCCGGUGAUUCCUGCGUGGUAUUCACAUUGGGCGUUUGUGUCAUACCAUUUGGGAUACGGGGGCUGCAGUGGCUUCAGGUAGAAAGGAGACACCAUAUGAGCUUGAACAGGUUCUGGUACAACUCCCUAUACGUCAUGGGUAUAAGGGUGAAUUGUGGCCUUUCUGUGUUCUCCCUCGCGUUGGAUUCUUGUUUUACAGAGCUUUGCUGAUUGGUGGUCACCGUCUUGGGUUGAUUUACGGUGAAUGACUUGGACUGACCCUUGUUGAAUGUGCUCGUGUUGUUUACUUCAUUGUCUCUUUUCCUCAGGGCUGACUUCCUGGUACUAUCCCUGAAUUCUAUCUUACCGCUCCUUAUAGAAUUUUCGAUAAUUUCCCCCGUCAUCACUAUGUCGGAGAAGCUCUUGGUGGCGCUUCCCAACAUAUGAGUGAUUAAAGGGGCUUUCAAGGUGUUGAUAAUGAGCAUUGUCGUCUCUUUUUCUAGAAGCAGCGGCUGAACUUGUAUGGCCACUUCUCUCCACCUUUGUGCAUACUGUCUGAAGCGUUUAUUUGACUUUUUCUCCAUAUUCUGGAGAGUGAUUCUGUCGGAGGUCAUGUCCGUCACGUGGUUGUAUUGUUUCAUAAAGGCCUGAGCCAGGUCCUUCCAUGAGUUAAUUUUAGAGCGGCUUAAUUGGUUAUACCAUUUAGACACUGCCCCGACCAGACUAUCUUGAAAGUAAUGGAUCAAUAGCUGGUCGUUGUUAACAUAUCCCGUCAUUCGCCUGCAGAACAUAGUGAUGUGGGCUUCAGGGCAGCUUGUUCUAUUGUAUUUCUCGAACUCGGGCAUUUUGAAUUUGGGGGGAAGGACUAAAUCUGGGACCAAAUUCAAGUCCUUGGCAUCAAUCCCUUGAUGAUGAUCCGCGCUCUCCAUGACUUUGAAUUUCUCCUUAAGCCAUCUACAUCGUUCUUCCAAUAGUUUUUACGAAUCUGCACUCGCCUUUUCUUCUUCAGCAACUUCAUCCAAAUCGGGAACGGGCGGAUAGUUUGGGUUGUUGACAAAGUUAGAGCCUGAGCCGGCUUGGAAGUUAUUGCUGGGGUAUGAUUGUGACAGAUGGUUUUUGUAGGUUAAUCUCGGGAUUCAUCAGUAUAUACAUCGGAGUAAAGCCAAGGGGUAUUGGAGAUCCUCAUUAAUUUCUUCAACUUUGUCCAUGGGGCUCUUUCCCUUAUACAUUCCUCCCAACAGCAAUUUGGACAACUGGGACAUCAUUUCUCUCUGGGACUCCAUCAUUUGUUCAUUCAUCUCUAGCUGAAUCUUGGCUAGUUGCUAUUGCAUCUGAGGCUACAUUUGUUCUUGCAUGUCCUUUUGCAUUUGCUCUAAUUUCUCAAGUCUCUUAUCUAUUGAUUUUUUUUGUACCGUAGGGGUGCGUGGUUGGUUGGUUUUCGUUAGUUUCCAGGUUACUGAAAUAAUUUUUAAUUAAUUAAUUAGAAAACUCUUAUGGCCAUUAAUGCAUAAUGAUAUGAUGUAAUGAAAAUGCAUGAAUGCAAAUGAGGCAUCAAUUUUGAUUCAAUUGCCCUUAGAAAAUUUCACUUGAAAAUAAAAUCUUUUUACAUAAAGUUGAGUUACAAAUAAAAUUUCGCUCUAAUACUCAAAGUCCUAAUUUUUCUAAACAACGGGCUAGCUCUUGUCUACGAUCCAAUUCCAACUCAUACUUCACGCUCAGUGUGUUCGCCUGAACCACUAAAGUUUGCAAGUAGUCUGCUACCUCCCGAAUCUGGGCUAUGGCUUCCCUCAUAAGGUAAUCUCUAUUUCUGACUUGGUCUUGCGCAUGGUGAAGCUGUUCUUUCCAACGAUCUUUGUUUGCCUCGAAAAACUGGAUCCGCAUCUCACAGUUUUGCAGUGACGCCUCUAACUCUUCUAUUUUUCCUUUCAUUUCUUCUAUCUUGCUCAAGCUUGCUCUCAAUUCCAUUGCAGUGUUGCGGUUUCGGUACUGAUGCAGAGACUUCUCAAGUUCUGCCACUCUAGCCCUUAAUUCACCUCGCUCAUUUCUGCUCUUCGACAGACUAUUCUCCAAAUCUUCGUUUCGUGUCUGAGCUUCUCGGAAUUUUCUUUCCCACCAGUCGGUAUUGGCUUUUUCUUCUUGAAUUUCAUGGCGCCAUUGUUCGGAAGUCUUACCUAAACCUGCAGUCCUCAUAGAUAGGCGUAGCUUCUUGUAGUCCGUCUUCAAGUUGUCUAGAUCUUCUUCGGCCUUAGUUUUUCCUUUUCUCCACUUCUUAGCCUCUGACCUCUGAACAUCAGCAUCUAACCUUAAGUGCAUCUUCUCUUCCUCCAAUUGUUCGAUCUUCUUCCCAAGCUCCAAAAUCUUCUUCUCGAAGUCUUGUUUUAUAAUUUCCAAUUCUGAUAGGGCGACUCGUAAUUGUUCUUCGAUAGGUCGAGCAUUCUCCAAGCUUGGCCUAAGAAUAUUAUCAUUAACCCUCUUCUUAAACCACUCGUUAUACUCAGGCGUUACCAUGGAACCGAUGGCUAACCUCUUCAUCCAACAAGUUUACUUUCAAGCAUUCGAUAACUCCCGAACUCUCUUCUUAUAGUGAGCACUUUUAAACGAGAAAUCACUCUGAGCAAAUCCAUAGGUCGCGGGUACAAACUACCUCAACUUAUAUUGCCUCAAGGCUAGCAAUGGAGUAUACCCUGUAGCUCCCCAAAUCCCUAACAAUGGCACCCAAUCGAAGUUACCACAUCGGUACAUGAUCUCGUCAGGAACCAUCCAAUAAGCUCUCCACUCGAUAUCCCCCUCCUUGAGGUUCUGAAGAAUAUCCAUCCACUUCUCUUUCGAGAUAUCCUCUCUCCUUUGUAUAGCUACCUCUUCUUUUAACGAAGAAUAACCCUCAGAAAAGACCCGAUAGGGAACCUUGUCUACCUUCCAAAAGUGCUCGCGAAACCAUGCCAUCAAUAAUUGUGCACAUCCAAUGAACCGUCCUUCACCCAUCCUCUGACAUGAGCUCAAAGAUCUGAAUGUUUCUGCCAAUAUUGCCAGUACCGGUGUGAUUCCCUUCUCAAGGCGAUCGAAUAAAUCAAUGACUGCUUUGUCCACGUGCCUCAAAGCCUUGGGAAAAAUUACCAACCCGUAGAGGCUUAAGGCAAAGAGGUCGACCCUCUUUCUUUCGUCUGGAUGCGUCAAGAUCAAAUCUCACAAAUUCUCCCAAGGGAUACAUUUGCUAUCUCCUUUUCGCUAAAUCCGUGCGGUGACCCAAGGCUCCCUUAUCCCAGAAAUGCUCAUCCGAAAGUCUGACUACUAAAAACCCGGGCAUAAGUCUUCCGGACCUGAAUUUUUGGACACCUGAGCAAAGUAGUGUAUUCCUCCAUGGUAGGUACCAAAUCCACUUCUCCAAAAGUGAAACACUUGUACGCAGAAUUCCAAAACUGCACCAAGGCUCAGAACAAAUGCUUAUCCACUCUAAUGUCUAGUAGGUAGGAUAUGUCACCAUAGCUUUGGUAAAACAACUACUUGAUCCCUUCAUCCCAACUAGCCCAAAUGCCUCUCAACUCUUGCAGCUCAUUCUGUACUACGUUGACGCAAGUGAAAUCCUACAGCUCCGAUACAUACCCUUCUGCCAAGCUAUCCCCUCUCUCUAAUUGUAGCCUUUCCGAACAUGCACGAAUGGCCGCAUUAUCCUCGAUUUUACUAAGAAAUUCAUUCUCCAUGUCAAACUUUCUAACUUAGUAAUUGAAUACGGAUUAACACCUCCUUUAGUAUGCAAUGUCAUGCAAAAAAAAUCAAAACAAAACACAGGUUAGUAUCACAUGAUAAUGAUAAAAUGCAAGCACAUAAACGAUAAUCGCAACGCAUAUACGGGUAAGUACUAAGGCUCGACGCGGCUCCACCCAAGGAUAGCUCUUAAGGUUCACUAUAUGUGGUUUAGUUCUAGGGAUAAGGUACCUGAACCAGCAGAUUCAUCAAUCCUCACCCAUUAUAGGCUCAUAUAGAUCGAGUUCGGUUCGGGGGGAUACAUUUCCCUAUGACCAUGCGGAGAUGAAAAUCUCACAAAAUCAUAGGUACGGAUGUACCCCGGAAGUAAUCCACUAGCCCAUGCGGAGGUGGAAACCUCACGAAAGCGUAGUUUCUUACUCCCACUUAGAAGGUACGACCACAGCGGUCGUGCAAUGAAAUGCAGCAUUAUUCUACACGAUCCAAACAUAAUAACCAUACAAACAAAUGCAUUUGUGAUUUUAAAAACAAGUUUUCGAUUUUUGAUAGAAGGACAGUAAAUAAUCAAUUUUUAUGGCUCGACUCUCAAAAAGGUCCCCAGCGGAGUCGCCAAGCUGUCGAAACCGUCCUUUCGGUUUAAAAAUUUUAGGUUUAAUAGAAAAAACGAGGAAUCGACUGUUUGAAAAUAAAACAUAGGGUCGCCACCGAUCCUUUUGUUUAGGUGUGAUCGGAUCACCUAAGAAUUUGAUUAUUUUAAUAAAACAUUUUUAGUUUACUAAAACAACGAUUCUGGUCUACGAAAAUAUGAAAAAAAGGGCUCGGGAGUCGGUUACGUAUGAGGAAGGAUUAACACCCUCAUUACGCCCAAAAUUGGUACCAAAUCGAUUAAAUACCGUCCUUAUGUCUAAAAUUAAAAAUGUUUUUGAAAUGCGGUUCUUGUUAAUAACAUUUGAAUAACCCGAGUUGGUUGCAAAAAAUCUUCUUGUUUCGACGUCCGAAAGUUUAUAAUUUGAAAUUAACAAAAGGAUGCCCAACUAUUUGGUCCAACAAAAAACCGAAACCCAGCACAGUAGGGCACGAUUCCUCAAAUUUCCGAACAUCGAACAUUGCCUCACCUUAGAAAAUACGGGUGAAAUUCUGAAGGGAUCUUCGAUUGUUUUGAGCGAAUGAAAAAGCGCAACCCAACACGAUAGGGCUCGAUUCUCAAAUCGCCAAACAUCGAACAUCGCCUUCGUUUUGAAAGGUUUUUAAUAAACAUGAAUGAAAACCUAAAGGAAUAUUCGAUUGUUUUGAACAAACGAGAAAACACAACCCAGCACGAUAGGGCAUGAUUCCCGAAUUGUCAAACACCUAGUACCUUCGUUUUAAAGGAUUUCUAGAAGACCUGAGUGAAAUUUUGAAGGGAUAUUUGAUUAUUUUAAACAAACGAGAAAUUGCAACCCAACACGUUAGGGCACGAUUCCACGAAUUGCCAAAUAUCGCAUAUCGCCUUCGUUUAAGGGAUUUUAAAAUAUAUGAGUGAAAUUUUGAAAUGAUAUUCGAUUAUUUUGAGCAACUGUAAAAUUGCAACCCAACACGUUAGGGCAAGAUUCCGCGAAUUGCCAAAUAUCAAAUCUCGUCUUCGUUUUAAAGAAUUUUUGAAUGAAUGAUUAUAAAGCUAGCUUAAGACGUAUUAAUUCGAUUUAAAAUAAGACGAAAUUAAUCAUAAAUUUGGGUUUUAUAGAACCACAUUUCAAAAAUCAAGUGAAACGAUGAUAUGGGGUAAAAGGCACAUAUGAUGGUACGAUGCUUGAUGAACAAGAUUAUUAAUCGACUAGCAGAAUAAGCAAUUAAAAUAUAAUUAAUCUAGAAAUUAUAGCCUAAUUUCAAUCAUGUAUGAAUAAUAAUUGACAUAUCAACAGGAUGAAUACCAUGCGAUGGUAACAUAUAUGCUACAAUAUAGAACAACCAACAAAAUACAUGCAAAACAAAAUAGAAUUUAAAAGUCAAAGUGGUAUAGGAUUAAUAAACUCAUGCUAUAUAAAUUGACAAGUUUGAAUGAAAACUAGGAAUAUAUAUAUAACUAUUGAAAUAGAUAUUAGAAAAUGAAAGUUGAAUUAAAUUGUAUGUAAAAUAAUUUAAACAUAAAUUCAUUUAAAAGUUAACAGAAUAUAUGAUAAUAAAAAUAUAUGAUACAAAAAAUACAUAACAAAAUAUAAUGCCCCAAAAUAGAUUUAUAAGGAAUGUACAUAUAAUUUUAUAAAAAAGAAUGAGAUUAAUGAUAAUGUACAUAUAAUUUUAAGUUGGUCUAAAAACCAUACAUCCUUAUAUCAAAACAUUUAAAUAAUAGGCUAUAUAAAACACAAAAAAACAAUGUAAUAUAAAGAAACAUUAAAAAAGAUAAUAAUUUCAUAAUUAAAAAGUUUCUAAAAUUAUUUCAUAUAUACAUAAAGAAAAUAUUCGGUAAAUCACAAAGUAAAAGGUGUUUUAAAAUAAAAAAUCUAUUAAAGUAAUAAGUGUAUUAAUAUGUAUAUAUAUACAUAUAAAUCUAAAGUAAAUACGUGUAAAUUUAUAUAAAAAUGAUAAUAUGUUUAGGUUUAGUAAUGUAUAUGAAUCAAAUACAUAUACUAAUAUAAAAGAAUAUAAAAUAACUUAAAUCUUAUAUAAAAUAUAUAUACAAAGCAUAUUUGAAUAGCAAAAAAUACGUAUUGAAGUACAAGGAUAAAGUCAAAAGCCAUUAUAUGUAUGAAAAUACAUUAACUUUAUUAUAAUAUAUACGUAAUAUGUAUAGUAAUACAAAGGAAAUGAACAUUUAAAAUGUACAAAAUGUGAUAAUAACAUUACAAAAAAAACGAAUCUACAAGAAUGAAGAAGCAAUCAUCAAGAUUAAUUAAAAUGUACAAAUAAAAUAAAAUAAAAAGGGGUAUAAAACAAUAAAAACUUAAUUAAAAUUAAACUAAAACAAAGGGAUAAUUCGAAAACAAACAAAAAUAAAAAAGGACCAAUAUUUAAUGGGCGAAAACGUCUGGGGACUAAAACUGGCAAUAUACCAGAUCCCAAAACGUCAAGUUUAAGCGCAGGUUAGAUUGUAAACGAAUAUAAAUUAUUGGGCCAAAUUUAAAAAAGGUAAAUAAAACAAAUGGGGCGCACUUGAGCACGCGUACAAAAAAGGAGGGCUUUUACCGAAAAUAACCCUUCACCGCAUAGGCACGCGGGUCCUGAGGGUUAGGAAUCGGAUCGGGUCAGGUGUACCAAUACGACACCGUUUGGAAAGCCAUUGGAUAAGGCCUAAAACGGUGCCGUUCCUGGUCCUAUAAAAAGGCCCCUUUUAGCCCACUCAGCCGAACCCUAGCCUCCAUUCUUCUCCUCAGCCAUAACCUGUGUUUUCUCCCUCCAAGAGACCAGCCCGCCUCAAGGUAUGGUGACCGACGCUCGCAGGCUUCGAAACAGGGUUUCUUUCAGCCACCGAAUUCCCUUUGAACCCCGAUUUCGACGAAGCAAAAGGGAAUCCGCAGCCUAAACUCAAGGUAAGUCCUCUUUUUCUUUUCUUUUUUUGAAUGUAAAAUGACAAAAAAAUAAGAAGGAAGAAAUAGCAAAUAGAACCGAAGAACAAAGAUCACCUUCUCAAGAAGUAGCUUUCUGAUUUUCAAGCAAUGUGUAUUGCGUAUGUAUUGUGUGUAUUCGUUUAUAUUGCCUUCGUAACCAUUACAAAGAUUAAAUCGUUGGCUUUAUAGCCGAAAAGAAAUCAAAAGAUAAAAAAUACAAACAAAUUCCUAUUGGCUGCCGUUCUCGCUGCUGUUUUUUGUUUCCUUUCGCAGGUACAGGUGCGUGGCGUGUGUACGAGGCUGUACUGGCGUCCGAGGGCUGUUGACGUGGAGGCCCGAGCGUUGUACGGCGUCUGGAGGCUGCAGGAGUUGCUGCGGCGCAAGCAGAGGAGGUGACCUAGGGUUUCUGAAGCUGUUAGGGAAAUGGGCCUAUAGGGCUUGCUCCGACUUGGGUUCUAACAUUAAUUUGGGCUUGUAAUAGGCAUCGAGUUAGUCUUUGGAUCAUAGGAUUGGUCUUUGUAAAUAGGCUAUGGGCCAUAUUAGUAAUUUUUGGACUAAUGGACCGUAAAAGGACAUUUGGGUUUUAUGUUUAUUAUUUUUGGUUUGUUUUUUGUUUUUUAUAUGGGUCGGGCAAAUUUGGCCCACUACAUAUAUUUUGUUGGUUUUUAAAUAAUAAGAUUAAAAUAUCCUUAAAUAAUAUAAUUUAUUUUAAAUACGAAAAAAAUAUUUUCAUAAAUUUUUUAAUUGAGCUAAUAUUUAAUUAACUCGUAAAAUUAACUCAGCAAAACAAGUUUUUAGUGACGUUUUUUUAGGAGUGCCGCUAAAAAUAUUUUCAUGAUUUUUUUAAUUGAGUUAGUAUUUAAUUAACUCGUAAAAAAUAAUUUAAUUCUUUGUUAUUCUUAUUAAAAUCUCUUACCCUUAAACCCUAAUACGUUAACUCCUAAAACCCUAUCUAUAAAAACACUAAACCCCAAAUUAUAAACCUUAAACCAUUACCUUUUAAACACAAAACCAUAAACCCAAAAUAAUAAACAUUAAACCAUAAACCAUAAAACUCUAAAUCAUAGACUUUAAACAUUAAAUUCUAAAUCCUAAACUUUAAAAUAAAAUGAUUUUUUUGCGGCAUUUUUUUCAUAAACGCUGUUAAUAAUUGACCUUUUGCGGCGUAUUUCUCAUAAACGUCGCUAAUGCUUGACCUUUUGCGGCGUUUUUAUCAUAAAUUCUGCUAUAGCUCUAACAUUUUAUGGCGUUUACCUAUUAGCGCCACUAAUGUAUAACUUUUGCAGCAUUUUUGAUCCAAACACCGCUAAAAUCAGUUUUACUGUAGUAAACUAAGAGUUUGAAUAAUAGUAUAGAUUAAAUAUAAAUUUAAUUAAAUAUAAAUUCGGUCACUAAUGUUUUUAUGUUUUGUUAAAAUGGUCCUAAUUAUAUUUUUGAGUUUUUUUUCCGAUCAACUUUUAUUCUUUUUGUUUUUUCAUAUUGUUUUUUUUAACAGAUUUGAUGAAAGCAUGGUUAAAAAAGUUAACAGGAUGAUGUGGAAUGAAAUAUUUUUAAUGAGAUGUAAUCUAUUAUUUAGAUAAUCCAAUAAGAUAAAUACACGUGAGAAAUAAUAAAAUAAAUAAAUCAUACAUGAAAUUUAAAAAAAUAAACGUAAUUAUCUAAAAAAAGUUUCAAAAUGAAUGCAUGGGUUUAUUUAAUGAGAGGUUUCAAAAAGAUAAUUAAUAAAUCAAACAAAAAAUAUUGAAUGUGUGCAUUCAUUUUGAAACUUUUUUUUAGAUAAUUAAAUUAUUUUCAUUAAAUUAAGAGUUAUUUUUUAACUUCAUAAAUUAUUUAUUUUAUUAUUUUUCUCAUGUAAUUAUUUUAUUGGGUUAUCUAAGUAAUAAAUUAUAUCUCAUUAAAAAUAUUCUACAUAUGAGAUUCCAUAUCAUCCAGUUAACUUUUUUAACGGUAUUUUAAUCAAAUCUAUUAAAAAAAAGUAAUUUGGAAAAAAAGAAUAAAAGUUGAUGGUAAAAAAAAAAGAAGAAAAAGGCUCAAAAAUAUAAUUCGGGUCAUUUUGAUAAAGCAUGUAAACGUUAAUAGUCAAAUUUAUCAUGAAGCCAAAUAUUAUUGAAUAGGUAUAUUUUUAGUAACAUUUAAAAUUAUAUAUAAUAGUUGUUGAAAAAAAAUUAUAUAUAAUAAAUGAAUAUUAUAUAUAAAGAAUAUUUUUAGUAUAAAAUAUAUAUUUCUUUAAAGAUUAGUAUGCUACAAAUAACGUUUAACACAAACAAACUUAGGGUAGAGGUGUUCAUGGGUCGGGCCGGGCCAGGUUCGAGUCGGGCUCAACUAAAAAAUUAUGCCUAUUUAUUGGGCUCGGGCCAGGCCGGGCCUAAAAAAUGGGCCUAAAAUUUUGCCCAAGCCCAACCCGGAUAAAAAUACUAAAACCAGCGCCCGCCCGGCCUGCCCGUAUUUAUUUUUAUAUUAAUUUUUUAUUAUUUUUAAAUAUAUAUAAUACAUCAAAAAUACUAAAAAUAUCAAAAUAAAUAUUUUCCAACAAAUUGAAAAUAAAUUUUGAAAAAUAUGUAGACUUAAAUAACACUAAGAUAAAUGCAACUUAACAAGCAAAUGAUUCUAAAAUAAUAAAAAAAUUAACAAAUGCCUUUAAAAUAAUAAAAAAAUUAACAAUAAAAUAAAUUUUAUACAAUAUCCAAACAAUAACAACAAAAUAAUAGUAAUAUAAUAGUAAAAUGGUAGCAAAAUAUGGAAAAAAAAAACAAGAAAAUAACAUUCAAAAAUAAAAAAAAUAUGCAGAUUUUUUUUGUCCUUUAGUGAAUUCGGGCCGGGCCGGGUCGGGCCGGAGCUAAAAAUACCUUACCCAAGGCUCGGUCUAUUUUUUUAACGGACCUUAUUUUUUUGUCUAAGCCCAUUUUUCGGGCCCAUAUUUUUACCCAAACUCUUUCACAUUUCGGGCGGGCCAUUGGGCCGGGCCGGAUAGCCCGGCCCAUGCACACCUCUAACUUAGGGUACAUUACCGGUAUUUUUAAAUAAUAAUCCUUGUUUUAACCAUAAAAUUCAUUUCUAACCAUUAUCAAGUUUAGAUUAUUUUGAUCCAUGAAAUUAGACAAAAGUCCAAGAAUUUGGGCCUAAUAUUUGGGUCAAAAUAAAAACACUGUUCAAUCUUCUCCUUCUUCCCAGCUACGAGGCCUUUCCACACUUUCGAUUAUGUUUUAGACCCAUAGUCCGUGUCGUGCACCAGACUCGGUGUCUCGUCGGCAUCGGCACGCCGGCCAUGAACAACUAUUCCUUGUAAAAAAGGUCAUAAUAAUGCGGUUUCGGGGUUUGUUUACUGUUUCCAUAGGGAAGUUGAAGGGAUUUUCCCUUUCUCAACCAAUGAACUUAACACCAACUUUUUUCAGAGAUGAAGGUAUGCUUUUUUACAGCUUUGCGUUUGAAUUUUAUUUAGUGUUUGAUAUCGCUACUGUAAUUAGUUAUUGUCUAGCAUUUGAGAUUAAUGCUUCGUUUGUAGCUUUGAAUUUCAUUGAGUAAUAGAUAGGUCAAAAACCAUUGAUGGGAUUUUAUGGAUUGUAUGUUUUUCUUACUAUAAUCUCAUACAUGUUUCCUGUGAUGUAAUAAAUUGGCAUAUUUUUCUAAAAGGAUGUUUGGGUUUUUUGUUUAUUUGGUUAAAUUCUAAUAGUUAAACAUUUUAAUAGGAAAACCAGUUGAAAAGCUUCAAGCUUUGAUUUGUUAUUCUAGUUUUUCAACCAAUGGUGACUUAAAGAAAGGCUAUGAGAAGAUGAUGUUGGCAAAGGACUUGGCAUGUCUUGUUGAGGAAUCAUCUCAUAAAGAUGAGAGGAAAGUUAAGAGCAGGAUGGAGCUUAAGAGGUCGAUUGAGUUUCGCGUAAAGAAGAGAGUAAAGGAGCAAUUCAUUGAUGGGAAGUUUCGUAACUUAAUGGUCAAUGUGAUUGCCGUUCCAGUUACGCUUCAAGAUGCUUAUAAUUGUAUUAAGCUCAACUCAAAUGUCAACAUAUAUGUGAAGGAUGAUUCUAUAUGUUUUAAUUCCCUUGCAAAAGAGCUCCUUGAUGGGAGUUUUGACGUUGGAGGAGAUACUGUCUCGUUCUCGACAAGAGGUGUUGCCAAAGAAGUCCUUAUCCUUCCAAAUCCUAAGAUGAUAAUUGUUCAAGAAGCUAUCAGAAUGGUUUUGGAAGUUGUUUACAGGCCCCAUUUUUCCAAAAUUUCACAUGGUUGUCGAAGUGGGAGGGGUCAUCUGACCGCAUUGAGAUACAUCAAGAAAGAGGUUUCUAAUCCAAGUUGGUGGUUCCCAUUAAUUUUAAACAAAAAGGUUGAUGAUAAUAUCAUCGCUAAGCUCAUUUCGAAAUUGGAGGAGAAGAUAGAAGACGAUCAGUUAUAUGUUAUUAUCCGAAGCAUGUUUGAUACACAGGUCCUCAAUUUUGAGUUUGGUGGUUUCCCAAAAGGCCAUGGCCUUCCACAGGAGGGAGUAUUAUCCCCGAUAUUAAUGAACGUGUAUCUUGACUUCUUCGAUCAAGAAUUUUAUAGAUUAUCCAUGAGAUAUGAGGCCCUUCAUCAAGGAGAUCAUAAGGAUGAAGAUAAGUCACAUUCCAAGCUACGGAACUGGUUUAGGGGACUGUUAAAGGAAAAUGAUCUUAAAUGCACAACUAAUGACAAUUCGGGCCCAAGAGUUUAUUGUUGUCGUUUUAUGGAUGAGAUAUUUUUUGUAGUUUCUGGUUCCAAAGAUAUUGCUCUUAGUUUCAAGUCUGAGAUUGUAGAUUUUUUAAAGAAUUCUUUGCGCUUGGAUGUUGAUGACGAGCAAACCGAAGUUCUACCUUGUGAUGGGUCUAACGGUAGUCGCUUUUUAGGAGCUUUGGUUAAAAGACGUGUUCAAGAAGGUCCAGCUACAAGUGCUGUGCACAAGUUAAAGGAAAAAGUACGCCUAUUUGCUUCUCAAAAACAAGAUGCUUGGAAUGUCGGGUGUGUUAGAAUCGGGAACAAAUGGUUGGCUCAUGGUUUAAAGAAGGUUAAGGAGUCGGAAAUUAAGCAUUUAGCAGAUAGUGGCUCUACUUUGAGUAAAGUUUCUUGUUUCCGUAAAGCUGGGAUGGAGACUGAUCAUUGGUACAAGGUCUUAAUGAAAGUAUGGAUGCAAGACAUUAAAGCCAAAGCAGCAGAGAACGAGGAAUCUAUCUUGUCUAAGUAUGUUCCUGAACCAGCCCUUCCUCAUGAACUAAAGGAAUCUUAUUAUGAAUUUGUGAAGUGUGCAGAUGAAUAUGUUUCUUCCGAAACAGCUACUACACUUGCUCUUUUACCAAAUUCAAGCUCAAACACUGGAUCUGUCACUAUCACUGAGAUUCUUGCUCCAACUGAUGCCAUAAAGAAGCGACUGUUCCGAUAUGGAUUGACCACCUCUGAAGGAUAUCCUCGUACAGCUUCACUGCUCGUUUUACAAGACAGCAUCCAAAUAAUUGACUGGUUUUCGGGAAUUGUCCGUCGAUGGCUUCGGUGGUAUCAAGAUUAUGACAACUUCGACGAGGUCAAGCUUUUAAUUUCUAGUUUACUGCGGAAAUCCUGUGUUCAUACUCUAGCAACAAAAUAUAGGAUUCAUGAAAGUGAAAUAGAGAAACGAUUUGAUUCGGAACUAUGCCGAAUCCCCUCGAUAGAAGAGGUGGAGCAAGAGCUGGCAUAUGAAACAUCGUAUUCUCACCCAUUUGAUAAUGACGAAGCAUUGAUGUAUGGAAUUUCAUAUAGUGGUUUGUGUCUGCUAUCACUGGCAAGAAUGGUGAGCCAGUCAAGGCCUUGCAAUUGUUUUGUUUUGGGUUGCUUAGUGGCAGCACCUAGUGUUUAUACUCUCCAUGUUAUGGAAAGACAAAAAUUUCCGGGUUGGAAGACAGGAUUCGCAAGUUGUAUUCAUCCAAGCUUGAAUAAAAGGAGAAUCGGAUUGUGCAAGAAACAUUUAAAGGACUUAUAUCUUGGUCAUAUAUCACUUCAGUCUAUUGAUUUUGGGGCAUGGAAGUAAUGCUGUCAACAAAGCCAAAAAAUAUCAUUUAAACAGUAGACUCUUGAGAAGAAAGGAGAAACCAAAUGAAUUGCUGAACUGGUUUGUGUGGGUGGUUUGCUGCCUAUAUUCGCUAUUAAUGGUAAAACACCUCACAAGGAAAAAUGAGCUCGGGAAAUGAUGUACCAAUGGCAAAGAGUGGGAAGAAUAUUACAGGUCAUUUGAACUCAUCUAUGAUGAGCUUUCUGCGAAGUAAGUGUUGUUUUCCUUUACCUAAAGAAACUACUUGAGAUCAUAGUAUUGAUGAACACAUGACAUAGCACAUAUGUAAAGUCCGAUACCAUCAUUACUUCAUGAAAUAGCAUGGAAGGUAGGAAUCGGCGGUCGUCAUCCGUCUCCAGACUGGGAAGCCUCAAAGGGGUCUUCAUAGAGAACUGCAGUUGGUUAUUACAGCUUCCUCAUCGGACAGGGGAUCUCUAGAGUCUUGAAAGUUGAGAAGUCUUAAAUGUUUGACAGUUUUGUUAGCAGAAGUUGCCAACCAAAAUCAUGUCACUGCAGGAAAACGAUACGACCAUUGAUUCUGGCAACUGCAUUCAGAACAGAAGUCUUGAAUCCCAAGGGGAUUCUAGCAACCCGUGUCAAUCCCGAGCCCCUGCUAGCCUCCCCUAGAUCAGUCCCGGCCAGCCCCUUGCAAGUCUCCCUUUUGGUCCGUCCCUGCUUAUAUAUCAUGACGUGGUUGUAUGAUCUGGAUUCAUUCGGAAGAUGGGAGGGAGUGGAAUACUGCAUUUCUUUUUUCUUUUUCUUGGUCAAUUCAGAAUAUCCGCUGAAAUUGCCAUGAAAGUGAGCUGCAGGACAAAACCUGUGGAUUUGACAUUAUACUAAAAAUUCAUGUGACAUAUACAAUUCAAUUUGAUGCUAUAAAUUACAUGGAAAUAUGUAAGAUCAUUUUACGAGAAUUUCAAGAUAUUUUAAAGCAACCGGAAUUAACAUUCCUCUCAGCAAUGUUAUUUUAAUUUGAAGUUGAAUGUGAAAUAUGGAUUUGUUCAUAUUUUAACCUUUUUUUAUAAACUUAAUUAAUUAUAUAGUUAAAAUAUAAACAAGUGUAAAAUAUAAGUAAAGAGAGAAUGUUUUACUUGUGUAAUAGAGUUCUUUUUAUCCCUUAAACCUAUCCCUUAAAUUUUUUUAAAGGGAUGUAUUGCUAAUUCCUUUAGUGUAAUUAAAUUAGUAAUUAAACUCUAAACAUUAAAAAAUUACAAAAUAGUCAAUGAACUAUUUGUAAGUUUUCAUUUAAGAUAUUAGACUUUUAAAAUUAUUGUUGUAUGACAAAGUUUAUUUUUUUUUAUGAAACAAUUUUGUCACGAAUCUGUAAGCUAAAAUUUAAUUAGUUUUUUCAAUCUGAUUGUCAAAUGGAUUUGAAUCUAAAGAAAGAUGUAGUCAAUGAGUUAUACUCCAUUUAUCAAUUGUCACUUAAAAUUUACUAGUCGAAUAUAAAAAAAACUUUAAUAACCAAAUAAUCUAAAUAAAAUUUUUUAAAUAUUUUAAUAAUCAUUAUAUAACUUUUUAAAAUUAAAAAAUAUUAAUCGAAAAGUUAAAACUUUUCGAAAAAGUAUAUUUUUCUUUAUAGAAAAAAAACAAAAAUAGGAAAAGUUGUAGGAAAUAAAGUGCGGUCGGAACAAGGCUGGCGCCAAGGAUGAGUGGGUCCUUAUGCUCUCUAUCAUUUGGUCUGGCUGGCACAUUGACUUGCUUACUUUCAUUUGGUCUGGCUGGCACAUUGACUUGCUUACUUUAAAGCCCUUUUUAAGGUUAUUGAGCUUGACACAACUGGCUGGUCUGGUCUGCCUCAGCUCAAGCUCAAGCUCCAGCACAAGUCAGGUCAACUUCUUGGAAGACAGACUAAAUCUCAAACCCCAACCCAGUUUUCAGACAGAACACAAAACUGAAGUAAGCAAGAUCAAGUGUUUCCCGGUAUGCCCACUUUCUUCUCUCUCUUUUUUUUCUUGUCUGAAUAUGGACUGUGUUGAGUUUGCUGCAAAAUGAGCUACAAUGCCGUAUCUUGUUAUUGCUUGUAACUAGUAGCUUGGAUCUUUACAAUUUUGACUUAAAUUAAGUGUUUUCUUUCAUGUGUAUAGCUCUGGUGUUUCUUGGAAUCCACGACUUUUUUGGGGUAUUCUUUGAAUAAGACUUUGUUGAAAGUUGAGAAGUUUCAAAAAAAAUGGGUAAAUUGCAUGUAAUUUGUUCAUCUUUGGGAAGUUUUACAGAUUUUUGUAAAGAUUUUGUUACUUCUAAGUUUCUGUUGAAAGUUGGAUAAGGUUAUCCAUUUCAAUUUGCUCUUGGUUAUUGGAUGAUAGCAAAGGUUGACUUUGGUAGGGUUGACUCGAUUUUAGUUUUAACCAGAGUGACCAUAAAUGUUGGGAAAUAAUGCAAAAUUUAGCUCUUGAAAGGAACAAAGGAUAAUGUCCUAAUUUAUAAACCACCAGCAUUGGAGCCUCAAAACUCAAUGAGAUGAAGUCUUUUUAUGUGCUAGAUAUAAUCCCAAUGAGAUCCAUCUCUGUGUUUUUGCAGUGAUAUGCAAUCGCAACUACCAAUUUGUGUGGUCUUACAAUUAAGAAAAUAUGAUAUAUAUAUAUUUGUUACUGCUUCAUAACAAGACAUAGUUUCUGUUAUACUGAUUUACUUGCAUUGGCAGCAUGGAAGCACUGGCGGUGCAAGCUGGUGGACAAGGUGUUGGUUCACUGGUUACACCUGCGGUUGAAGGUGGAAAGAGUAUUUUCAACUGUUUGCGGCACAAAUAUGCCUACGUGAAGAAUAUACGAGAGAAUUUUGACAAGCUUGUGAAGGAGGAAGUAUAUUUGUCUAAUGUGGAUGCAGAUGUUAAAACAAAGUUGGAGAGAAACAAAUUAACAAAAGAAAAAACGAACAGAUGUGAAACCUGGCUCAAUGAGGUCGAAAAUAUGAAACAGGAGAUUGAAAACCUUAAGGUUGACUACAAAAACACCAGCUCGUAUUUUUGCGGACUAUGUCCAUUUCCGAGUUUGCUAAAGCUUGGCAAGCGUAUUGUGAAGAAGACAACAGAGGUAGUUGAGCUGAGGAAUCAAUUAGGUCAAAUAACUACAAUGCAUGAGAAGCCACCGGCACCACCAGUUCCUGUUAUAGAGAAGCAUGCUCGGAAAAAAAGUGAUGUGCCAUCAUUUGAUUCUCAUGUAGAAACACUGGCAGAGUGGCUAGAGGAUGAGAACUUGAAAAGAAUCUGCAUAUGGGGACCUCCGGGUGUAGGGAAGACCAAGAUAAUGGGAAUGUUGCAUGACAGGGUUGGUAAAUCUGGUAAAUUUGACAUCAUCUUUUGGGUGAAUGUAACAGCCGAAGGGAGAAUAAGAGACAUACUGGAUGAAAUAUGGAAGCGUUUAGAUAUGAAAGUAGACGGCAACUAUGGUGCUGAUCAAAGAGCAAACAUGAUAUCCGAAGAGCUAAAGGACAAGAGCUAUGUAUUGUUUCUUGAUCUUGAUGAUAUUGUCUCAGAGAUUGAUCUUAGAAAAGUUGGAAUUCAUGAUGAACACGAGCAUGGAAAAGUGGUGUUUGCUUGCAGAUACAAGAACAACAAUAUCUGCGGAGGCACAGAUGAAGAGAUGAAUGUGCAGAGAUUAUCGGACGAGGAUGCUGAAAGCUUUUUUUGGGAAAUAGUUGGUUCUGAUCUUAAGAGUAAUCCCGAUAUCAAGCCAGUUGCGAAACACAUCAUCAAAGAAUGUGGUGGCAUGCCGCUCUUGAUCAAGUUAAUCGGCAAUAGAUUGGCAAAAGUGGAUGACCCUGCGAUAUGGCGAGAUUUGUUGUCCCAAUUAAGGUCACCGACAAUGGAACCACUAGAACCACUGGAAGAAGUUUACAAGGCUUUUAAACUUGUUUAUGAAAAACUAUCAGAAGAGAUGAAGCCUUGUUUGCUGUAUUGGGCAGUGUUUCCUGCCGGUUACGAAAUUUUUCGAGACCAUAUAAUUGAUUGUUGGAGAGCGGAGCAGUUCUUUUCAAGCCAAAGAAAACUUCCUAGGACACGUGACAGGGGGCAUGCAAUAUUAGAUGAAUUUGUGAGGAAGUCUUUACUAGAAAAGGGAAGAAAAUGGGGGCAUUUCAAGAUGUAUGAAUAUUUUCAACGGGUGGCAUUAAGGAUAGCAAAUCUUGAAAAGAACUUCAAUUUUUUUGUUACCGAGGAUGAAAACAUUAUAGACGAAGAGUGGGAACGUGCAAGGAGAGUGUCACUUAUUCGGGUUCGCCUAUCUACUCUACCAAAAAGACCCCAAUGUUGUGGGAUCUUGACAUUGUUACUGCAGGAGAGUUGCUUGGCCGAAUUUCCAAGGGAAUUCUUCGGCUAUAUGUGUGGCCUUCAAGUUCUGAACUUGCAUGAAAUACGAAUCACUUCACUUCCAUCAUCGAUAUGCAGCUUAACAAAUCUGAAAGGGCUGUUUAUAAACAACUGUAGUCAAUUAGUACAGCUUCCUUCUCAGAUCGGGGAUCUCCAGCAUCUAGAAAUCCUUGAUAUACGUCAGACCGGUCUCUAUAGUUUGCCCGUAGAGAUUGGAGAAUUGUUCAAUCUAAAAUGUUUGAGAGUUUCAUUCACAGAAGAUGUUGGCAAGUACAACCAUGUCGAAGAAGUGAAGCCGAUGAUUCCUUCUAACGUGAUUGCAAGGCUUUCUAAGUUAGAAGAACUAAGCAUUGAUGUGAGCCAUAGUAGCAGCAGAUAUCAAAAUGCAGCCGAAAUUGUCCGUGAAAUUUCUGAGUUGGAAGAGUUAACCACACUUUGUUUCUUCUUCCCCGAGUUGGCAUCUUUCAACUCUUUCAUCCGGAAUAGCAAAUCAUGGAAAGGAAGCAAUACAAUUUCAGCAGGCAAUAGCUUCAGAUCAUUCAACAUCGUUGUUGGUUGCCGGAGAAACAAUCCUGCUUCUGAAUUUAGAGUCUUCGAAUGUUCAGCCGAGAAGCAUCUGAGGUUUUAUGCAGGAAACGAAUUUCCGAAUGCUAUUUUAGAGGUACUAAAGCAAGCCAAAGCGCUCGAACUGAUCGGUCACCAAACUGCUACCAGUUUAUCAGGCUUCAGAGCUGAUAACUUGCAAGGAGUGGAAGCAUGUAUUGUCGAGGAAUGUAACCAGAUGGAGAACAUCAUAGAUAGAGACCAAACAAGUAUUGCAUUUCAAGAUGAUGACAACAUGGGUGUUGAAUUCGAACGCUUGAAAAGCCUACACAUUUGCAAUCUCCCGAAACUAAAAGGUAUCUGGCGGGGCUCGAUUGAAUCUAAAAGCCUCUGUAGCCUUACAUCUCUCUCGUUAAAAGGAUGCAACAGCAUAGGAGUGCUUUUUUCACAGGGAAUGAUCAUACGACUCUCUCAGCUAGAAAAGCUGGAGGUGAAGGACUGCUGCGUCUUGAAGGAGAUUAUUGAAGAUGGAAGUAUAGUCGAAUCCCACUCCUUUCCCAAGUUGAAGUAUUUGCAGCUCCAUGACUUGCCGGAAUUAUGCUCCAUUUCUCAUAACUCCUUGCAAUGGCCUUCCUUGGAGACAGUAUUGAUCAAGCCAUGCAUGAAGCUAAGAAAUUUACCACAUACAAUUAAAAACGCAUCAAAACUAAAAACGAUUCACUGCACAGAAGAUUGGUGGAAUCAACAGGAUUGGCCACAUGACACUAAUAAAGAUGAUUUCAAAAACUUUCUCAGUUUCAUAUGAUGAGAGGAGCCUCAACUAGGGCAAAGACAUCCCAAGCAAAAGGCAUUAUUGAAGAGACUGUUGAAGAUUUAGUGAGAAUCAAGAGAAAUAUAAGCCCGGACCUGACUAUAUGCAGCUCUCAAGUAUUCUUAGCUGAGUUGGCUUAUGUGAUAGCCGAGCCUGAGUGGGAAUUGGUCAUUGUUACAUUUUUCGUCCUUGAAUUUCUCCAAAGAUUUUUAUUAUGUAUGGAGAUUCACCCAGCCUUCAACCAAUGAGGUAAACUCUCUCCUCAUAAUCAUACUCCUACCACAGUAAGAUUCUCGAUCAUGGUUUCUCCUUUAUUUUCCAUUUGGUAUUGGGUGUGAUUAGAAUAGGACUACCCUCUUCGUUUUGCAUGUUUUCCCUCCCUUUGUCUCAGCCAGUUACUAUGUGCUUUGUCAAGUUGAAGAAACAUUGUGUGCAGCCUGCCAGAGUGGCAUUGUCUCCAACAGCGAGACAUUGAAUCCUUUUUAAGUUAAAAGUCCUAUAACACGUAAAUAUGUUGUUAGCUAAGUUCAUGUUGAAUUUUCUCAAUGAUUGUUCUUUUGUUUUUGAGUGAAUGCUAGGUUUUCUGUUAGUUCAUUGUAUACAUUAAUGGCUGUAUUUCAGAAUUCUUCGGUUUUAAAUUUCUUGAUUCAUUCUUUGCAUGUUUGGUUACAAGUAUGGAAAUGUGAUCGUCCAAAGACCCACCAAAUACAUGAAAGCAGUUUGUUCAAGCUGGCCGUAGUUAUGCUCGAAACGGUAUGUUCCAUCUCAGGCAGCAUGUAAUCUCCAUUGAUGAAGAGCUUUUAGGUGGGAUUCAAGCAUUCAUCUCAUCAGAUGUUUCAACAACUACUACAUCAAAGACAACUUUUCAAGACAUUGCUUCCACAUUUUGUCGAACCAGUGACUGCAAAGUCCAUUCCCGACAACCCCCAAUCACUUCCUCUUUAAAGUAAUUCGAUAUUUGUCAUGGUUUGCAUUUUGCAACAAAAUAAACUUCUAAGUAGAGCAAAAUAUAUUUGCAAUAAUGUUUUUUAACUAAUUUUUGAUAUCAAAAUACAUUUUUUUAUUAUUUAAUAAAAUGAUUUUAAUACAUAUAAUUAAUAUAAGUGAUCAUUAUUAAAAUGAUUAAAAAUAUAUAAUAUUCGCAAAGUAAAAGAAUUUCAAAAUAUAACCUAAAGUAAUUUUAUAAUAUUAAGAAGUAUAUAUGUAUAAUGCUGAAAAGAUGCACAUAUUGUUUUUUCUUCAAUUUCUACUACUUUUUAUAUCUACAAAAUCAAUUAUCUUAAUUCAUUAUUAUUUUUUUUAGGGAAAAUUUUAAUUCUUGACUUUAAUACUUAAUAACUUAUCAAUAUUAAUAAUAACCUAUUUCAGACUCAUGUUAAGAUAAACUUCUCAAAUAAAAGUUAUGAAAUCAUGCAUGCAUGUCACACGUUACAUGACAUAUCGAAUAAAAGAUAUAGAAUUAGUGAAGUCAAUUACUCUCUUAAAAGAAACAUGUUAGGCAAUUUAUUAAACCAGAACUGCAUAAAUAGGUAAAGCAAUAUCAUGUUAGACAUUAUUAAACAAAAGUUACUAAAGCUAUACAAGUCAACUGAAACGAUAUGUCAAACAAAAUUUAUAAAAUCGAUUAAAUUAUUUAUGAGUUACAUAACAUAUGAAUACAAGUUGCAAAAUCAUAAAGAUAUAAUUACAAUUUAUACAUACUAUCAAACAUAACAUAAAAAAAUUAUAAUAUAAUUACAAUUUAUCGACAAAUACAUCUAAAGAAUCAAAUUUUAUUAAUAAGAGAGUUGAAGUAAUUACCUGAUGGGUUCUUAACGAAUAACGUUAAACAAAGCUGAAAAGCACUGUGUGGAAGCAAAAUAAAGGCAAAAAUUGAAAUAGCCAAGAUCAUGGAAACGAUGGAAAAACACCUGUAGAACCUCGAAAUCUGUGAAUCAUGCUGGAUUUUCAGUGCCGUAAAAGCACCUGUGAAUGUAAAUAUAAUAGAAAUUACGAAGGCGUGAAAUUUACAAGACUGUAAUUUGACUUUAAUGUGCUCUUGUUGCUAUUGGAAUAAAAGACUGCAAUUUGUUUUCACAAUUUGCAUCUUAGUGACAAAAUCUUGUAUCCAUAUUCCAUCAAAAUCGGAGUCUAUACACCUGAUGAUCUCUAACUGAUUAGACCUAGCAUGUAAUCUUUUGUUCUCUGAAAAUACCUUAUAACCCUCUUGGAUGCUAUCUAAUGGUCCAAACCAGGGUUGCUUAAAAUAUCUGCUUAACAUCCCAAUAGUGUAUACAAGAUUCCAGUGUAUACAAACCUGAACAUACAUUAGACUUUCCACUGCUAAAAUGUAAAAAAUCUAAUGCAUUUUUGUAACCUUAAUAUCAUUCUUAGGGCAUUGAUUGAGGCUAUACUUAUUAUUGACAAGCAGUAUGUCUUUAACAUAUAAAACCAAAUAUAAAACUUUACUCCCACUAAACUUAUGGUAUAUACGAUUAUCAACAAAAUUCAUCUCUAAACCGAAUGAGAUAAUCAUUUGGUAAAUUUUGUAAUAUUAUUGACGAGAAGUCUACUUAAGCCCAUAGAUGAAGUUCUUUAAUUUGCAAAUCAUUACUUUUGUAUCAUCAGACACAAAGUUUUCUAAUUGCACCAUAUAAAUGUAUGAUCAAUGUUACCAUUGAGAAACAAUUAACUUAAUAUUCAUCUGAUGUAGCUCAAGGUCAAAAUAUUCCACUAAAGCCAUUAUAACCCUUUCUCUAGUGGACCUUUUUAAUGACAUUCAUUCUUGAGGUUGUUGAGUUUGUUCUUCUGGAACAAUUACCUCAUCUUGAAUAGGGAGUUGUUUAACAUUGUCUUAUUGAGGUUUUAGAUUCACUUCUUAAUCAAUGAUAGGUAUGAGAGUCUAAACAUAUAGUAGGAACUGAGUUAGAAUCCAAUUCCUCCUCAAAAGCAAUGUUUCUAACCUUAUUUCUCCCCCAAACUCAACAUCCUCAAAGAAUGUUGAAUUCUUGUCUCAAAAAUAUUCUUAAUUGUAGGAUCAUAAAAUUCAUAGCCCUUAGAUUGCUCAGAAUUUCCUUAACCCCUAACUUUACAAACAUCAAAGAAGUCAUAAGUGAUGUCAUUUCAACCUUAUCGUUUUUAGCAAAACGUUUCUCAAUUUCAUCAAGGAAACCUUGGCCUAGUAAUCUUUUCAGAUUCUAUGCCCUUAAAGGCUUCUAAAUGUUGUGCUUUAUGAUCAUUAGACUCAUACAAUUUGAACGAUUCCACCUCUCAAAAUCCCUUUUAACAUAGGGGGUGCUUUCCGCAGUGAGAGGUGCGAGUAGUUCUUCCUUUAAUGCAAGGUCUAUGUUCAUAUAGCCAAGCACUAUAAGUAAGUGCCUUUUCCAUUCAUUGAAAUUAGCCCCAUUAAGUAUGGGUAUAGAAUUUAUAUUAGCAGAUAUUGUGGCAGUAGAAUAUGAAUUAGUUGAAAAUAGAACAAAAAAAAAAUAAAAAUAAGCUUACAUCAAUAUUCAUAGUAAACAAUAAAUUCAGGAUAAUGGCUAAUCCCAUCUCAAGACGCCAAACAAAACUUUAAUAUCAAGUCUUUAGGCAAUAAUAUUAACAGUAAGCGGUACUCUUGUUGUAGCAAUCAAACAUUGACAAUAAACUAUGUCAAACAAUGAAUUAAUCUUUAGACUAACUUAUUGCUCACAUAUAAUACCUUAUAAUUGUCACACAUUUAUCACCACAGGUGUCGUUGUAAUUAUGCCAAAUAUUAACUUAUCUUUGGGUAAAUUAAUAAAUACAUGAAUCACAAAAACAUAUAAUCAUCUUAAUAUUUCAAAUAAGCUAAUCUACACAAAAGAGGUCACUUUUGUGGCAUUUUGUUUCAACUAAUUUAUUUAAAAUAUUAGACAUCCUUAAUUAAAAGCCAAAAUCUGAAUUUAUUUGUUUCAAAAUAUUUACCUUAAUUUCAUCUUUCAAUCAAAUUAAAAGAUAAUAAUAAAUAUUUAUAUAUAUAUAUUUAUCCCAAAACAACAUACAAUGAUGUUGGUAAAUAUAAUAAUAGUUGAAUAAAUCAUAAACCAUAAACAACUUCACAUAACACUUCAAAUUUAAACCAAAAUAAUUUGAAUAAAGGUAAACCUCAUCUUAAGAUAUCGGACACUCCAUUAAUAUUUCAUCUUUGGACAAAAUAUUAAUUUGUAAGUGAUAUCUUGGUGUAGUAAUCAAACAUUGACAAUAAGAGCAUGUCGAAUAAUAAAUCUUCCUUUGGGCCAAUUUAUUACUCACAUGUAAAACCGAAUAGCCGUCACAUGUUUAUCACCAUAGUUGCACAUGUAAUAUUAUUAACCUUCACUUGGGCCAAUCAAUAUUAACGUAACUUAAGUUACAUGCACACAAACUUUUAUAUUUUAAAACAAAAUAAUUUAUACAAAAAAAUCACUUUGGUGACUUUUUGCUUCAAUUCAAUUAUUUUAAAAUAUAUAUAAACAUACUAAUAUUCAAAUUUAAAUUUCCCCAAUAGUCAAAUGUCAAAACUAAUUUUUUUUUAUUGCUUUAUAGACUCUGAAAUAACCCAAAAUAAGUUUGUCUAAAUAAUGCAAUAAAAAAAACCGAAAACCUUGUUUUUUUGACUAUUUCCUUCUUCUUUUUUUGUUCCAAAAUCAUAUAUCAAAACCAAACAGAAAUAAUGUAGUGGUUCAAAGCCAAAUAAUUAACAAGCACAUGUAUUCAUAAUUUUGGCAUAGAUAAAAAUACCAAAACAAUUCACGCAUAUACAUGUAUUCAUAAUCAAAUAGAAAAGCUUACCCUAAAUUUACCAUGUAAAUCCAAAGUUAUAUUUAUGAUUAAACAGAUAUUCACAUAAAUACUUGAAAAAUAUUUUCAAGCCAAUAAAUCUCAAAACAACAAAAUCAUAAUAUCCCACAAUUCAUACAAUAAACCAUAUCAUCAUAAUUUAACCAAAUAUUUAGAACCAUAAGAUGCCAAAACCUAAAAUUAUAUAACCAACUUUAAAACCAAAAUAUUUAAAUAUGUAUAUAGUUGACAUGAAUUUGCACCAAAGCACCCAUAAAAUUAUAUAUAUAACCAUAAAUUAAAAAAAUUAACUUCAAUGAUAUCCAUCAAAACUUAAUUUCACCAAUUAAACUAUAAAAUAUAUCUUAUUGAAUAAUGGUUAUAAACGUCUGUUCACACAAACUAUAAUCAUGCAUUAAUCCUCAAAAUCAUUGAUAUGCAUAUAAUAUAUAUACACACACAAAUAUAAAAAUAAUACUGGCUUGUCUUACAUAUUUUAUGUAAACUCAAACUUAUAUUCUGUAACGUCCCCUAACCCUAUACUGUCACCGGAACAGGGUUACGAGACAUUACCAGUCAGUACAGUCCAAUUUCGGUCAUUAAUUAAAAUAAAUAUUCACACACAUCCUAGUUUUAAGAUGUCGUCCCUUUAAUGGGCCCUUGCGGUCCAAUAUGAACAGUAAAUUCAAUUCGGGACUAAUUUAGAAUCACUACGAAUUUUUAGUAAAUUUCAAAAUUCAUACUACAUACCGUUGCCAACCAUAAUUUACUCAUUUCAUCAAUACUUUUACAACCUAAAUGACUCUCAUUAAACAUCCUGGGUACAUGCCACUAUCAAUACUCAACAUACUUUACCUUAAUGAAUUCGGGAUCAUCCUGGGAUGUUGAUUCAACGUACUAUCUUUACUUAACCUGCGCACGGAAACAAACCGUACGCUGAGUAUGGUAUACUCAGUGGUAUUUCUAUAAUCCGAACAAUUAAUAAUAUAACAAAUACUUAAUAUCAUAAUAACAAUUACAAUUAUUCAAUUAUUUAUUCAUAGAUAAAUUUCAACUACUUACCAUAUAAAUUUUAUACAAAUCAUAUAAUAAACACAAUAACAUAAUUGUUCAAUUCUUAACUAAAUCCAUUAUUAUUACUCCAUUCUUUCACUUACUACUCGGUAUAGCUUUCCUUAAUUUACUCACAAUUCAAUAUCAUUAAAUUAUAUUCAACUAUACACUUAUCAAUCAUAUUCCAUUUUAAUUCAUUUCAAUAACAGUCAAUUUCAUUUAUAUCAUAUCAACUUACUAUCCCUGAUAGCUUUCAGUAUAUACACACGAUUCAUAUAUCUCAAAUCACAUUUCAAUUCAUCAAGUGGCAUCAUAUAUCAUCAAUUCGAACUCCAAUCAUUUCAUGAACCCUUGGUUCAUAUUUUCAAUUUCAUAUCUAAAUUUUCAAUUCUCAAUUCAAUUUCUCGUUUCAUUUCAAUAGCUUGAUCAAUCAAAUUUAUUCAAUUUAUCUUUCACUUAUUUACCCCUAUUAACAAACCCGGACUUUGACGAAUACACAGAUUCAACCCAAACACACCAGUACGGCACAUUGUGCCUAAAACGGUACAUAGUACAUGAUCAGUAUACGACACAUAAAGUGCCUAAAAACGACACACGAGGUGCCUGAUACGACACACGAGGUGCCUGAAAUACGACACAUAAAGUGCCUAAUUGGUAAAGUCGGCAAAUCCCGUACACUUUCAGAUCCUAUGGCAUGCCAAUUAUAUCCGACUUAGCCCACUAGUUAAUACGGUAUUUCAUUCACUUUCUCAUUUAAUAAUUCUUUCAUCAAUAUACCAUUCUGAUAAUCACAUAUAUUCACCCAUUUUCACAAUUCAUACAAUUUCAUUCAUUCAACAAUAUAAUUUCAAUUAUUCACAUUAAUUCAUAAUUCAAUACAAUUCAAUUCAUUUUUCAUAUCAAAUAUUCAAAUAUCACAUCUCAUAUAUUCAUAUCAAUUUCCUCAUAUUCUAAUCAAUAUAUUUUUCAAUAUAAUAUUCAUUCAAUAAUCAAAUUUCUACAUAAAUCAUAUAUAUUAUAUAAUUUAAUCAAUAUAAAUUCAAUCAAAAUAAUUUCAAUCAAUAUAAAUUCAAUAAAACAGAUAUUCAUAAGUCAAUUCAAUAUAAAUUUAUCACACACUAAAUCAAUUCAUUUCAAUUAUAAAGACACAAUACAAAUAAUUCCCAUAUUAAUUAUUUAUCAUAAUAUUUAUCCAAAAUUCAAUUAUCAUAAUUGCAUAAUAUCUCAUUCACACACACACACACAUAUUUAUAUAUAUAUUUAUAAUAUAUAAUUCAAUUUAAUUCAAUCAAUAUAAAUUCAUCACAUACCAAAUUAAUCCAUUUCCAUUAUAAACACAAUAAUUCUCACUUCAACAUUUAUUAAAUGCAUUGAAUAAAAAAAUAUAACAAUUAAUAACUAGGUUCGGAUUAUAGAAAUACAAACUGUAAUUUUCGAGCUAACUCCCGUUGACUUUGUCUUGUCCUUUCUUAGCCGAGAUUUCCGGUACCACAUUGACUACAAAAUUAAUACAAUUCAUAAUCAUUAAUACAUUACUAAUUCAUAUCUUGAGUUACAGAAUUCUAAAUUAAGAUCCGCUAAUUUUUCUGAAACUAGACUCACAAAUCUUCUUACAAUAAAAAUUUCAGAAUUUUUGGUUUAGUCAUUAAGUACAGUUUAUUCUUUAAAUUCACCCCUAUUCUGUUGUCUGACAGUUUCGUCCCUUCUUCACUAAAAAUUAAUUAUCUCGCAGUACAGAACUCAGAUAAUAUUCCCUUUGAUUUCUCCUGAAAAUAGACUCAUUAGGGAUUCUAAAAAUAUAACUUUAAGCCUCUAAUUAUUUUUUUUCAAUUUUUGGUGAUUUUCCAAAGUCAGAACAGGGGAACCCAAAUUCAUUCUGACCUUGUCUCACAAAAUUCAUUAUAUCUCAUAAUUUACAAUUCAAUUGCUUAUAUCGUUUCUUCUAUAAGAAACUAGACUCGAUAAGAUUUAAUUUCAUAUUUUAUUCAUCUUCUAAUUCGAUUUAUAUAAUUUUUUUAUGAUUUUUCAAAUUUAGACUACUGCUGCUGUCUAAAACAGUUUUAGUGCAAAAUGUUGAUUUACUUUAAUUUCAAUUUAAUCCUAACUAAAUUCUCUUACUUUUCUAUCUUAAUUCAUACUUUAUUUCUAUUCAAAUUUUUUCCAAACUCAUACUUAACUAUUAAAUUUCCAGCAUAUUUUCAUAAUUUCGAAUUUAUUUCCAUUUAAUCCCUAAAACUCAAAACUUAUAGCUUAGUUUACGAUUCAAUCCUUUAUUCAAUUCCAAUCAAAAUUUCUAUCAAAUAAACCCCCAAUUCCAUCAUUUUAUUCAACAUGAACCAAACUUAGAAAUCUAAUGACUUUCAAAAUUUCUACUUAAAACAAGUACUAUUUAUCUCUAGGAUUCCAAAAAACUCAAAAAUCAUAAGAAAAUGGGCUAAAUUGACUUACCAAAUUAACUUGGAACCUUUAAAACCUUAUUUCCCCUUUUUCUUUUCUUUCUUUCUUUCUCCCCUGUUUCUUCUCUGUUUCGUUUCCUGCUAUCCUGUUUCCUUCCUUCUUUUUAUUCUUUUGUUUCUUUCCUUUAUUUCCUUUUUAUUUACUCUACUUUUAAUAAUAAUAAUUUAAUAUAUAUUUUAACACAUAAAAACCUCAAAUUUUUAUGUUUAUGCCGCCUCACUUAGGACAAAUGGCAUAAUUGCCAUUUUGGUCCUCUUCAUUUUCUUUUAAUCUACAAUUUAACUUUCAUCCUUUAUUCAAUUUAGUCCUUUUUCUUAAUUACUCUUAAUUAAAUUAAAUUCACUUAAUUAAACUCUAAUUAACCACUCAUUUUACUUCGUAAAUAUUUUUAAUAAAUAUUUAUGAAUCCGUUUUUCAGAAAUGAAGACCCGAAAAUAUACUUUUUCGGUAACGGUAAAAUUCGGGUCAUUACAUAUUCAUGACUAAAAACAUUAUUAUAAAACUUCUUUAUACUCACAAAUACUUAAAAAAAUCCAUAACCACAAAAUAUAAAAAGAAUCCCAAAUUAUAUAAAAGUCUUUAUAUGCGCAACUACUUAUGAAAAUUCAUAGCCAUCAUAUUUAAAAAAAAAUAAUCCCAAAUAUUUUAAUUUUAGUCAAAUUCCAUAAAGAUUAAAACUUACAUAAAAUAAUUAUAAAAGAAACCAAAAGUAAUCAUUUGUAUAUAUGAAUGGUGAAUAUAAUUCAUCAUAAAUAAAGAUAAAAGAUGACGAUUCCAUAUAUAUUCAACUACAAACAGAAAAUUUAAAACAAAUAGUACGAAAAAAAAUAUAUCUUAUCAAGUGAACAACUUUCAAAGCCAUUACCAAAACUUAUAAAAUAAUUGUAUGAAAAGAAGAGAAAGAAAUCUCACAAAUGAAUUUUUAUCAAUUGAUUAUAAAUAAAUAUAUAAACCUUCAUCUUUCGAAUAGCAUAUGCAAAUAUUAAACUAGAUUGUAUUUAUAAAACUUUAAAACUUUAUUUAAAGAAUCAAAACCCAAAAAUUUAUCAAGAAUCUCAAAGAUUCAACAUAAUAUAUAAUUAAAAUAUCAAAUCCAUAAAAUUAAAAAAAAAAAAGAAAAAUGAAUCAAUCCAAAAUUAAGAAAUAAUCAAUUCAUUCUCAAUGAUUCAACAUGAUAAAGUUUGGAUGCCACUAGUUAGAAUUUAUAAAAUAAAUCUAAAAUAAACUUAAUAAACCAGGAUCUAUCAUGUCAAAUUAUCAAGAAUAAAUAAAUAACAGAACUAUAUGCGGAAGCGUACCUGAAUCAUAGAUUCCUUGAAACUUUCUGGAUCUUAGGGAUUUGAUCUUCAAAUUAGCACACAAGAAAUUCAGAGAAUAUCUGCUCUCUCUUUCCUAAUGAUGGGAUAUUAGAAAAGAUAUAUUGUGUAUAAUUUGGGGACCAUAACCCUAAUAUUUAUAACCUUAGCAUAUUAGUUCUAAUCAAAUUCUAAUUAGCUCGUCAUUAAUUAGAAUUUGAUUAGAAGAGUAUCUACACGUAUUUGACCCAUACUUUAUUUAAUAAUUAAAAGCCUAAUAAAAUUCUAACCAAAUUAGAUAACUUUUAAUUUGGGCUAACCUAUCAUGAUAGUAAAUAAUAACAUGUAAUUAUCUUUAUUAUAUAUGUGAUGUCCAAAUUUUCUAACAGAAUCAUGUUUAUAAUCAGACCAGCUAUGCAGGUAAGUAGAAAGUUGCAUUCAGUGAGGGUGGUGGAGUGUUGCAGUGAUGAAAAUUGCACCAUUUUUCUUCUGGAUUGAGAGGUUUAUUAGAGUUCUUCAGUGGAUCAUGAACCAGGCAAUCUUUUCUUUGUGAAUAGCAAUUAGAUUAUAGUGUUGAUUUCUUCUUUGAGGAUCCUGCAAGGAAAUUUUAAGAGUAAAAAAUAUGGCACUGACUCUUGACCGUGGAAAAGUCUAGAGAAUUUCAUUCAUGUCAUAUUCACAAUUGAUUUGCUUAGUGUUCAAUUACCAUUUGUUAAGUUGAAUCCAUGUUGUUUUAUUUUCUCUUCAUCUGAAAUUGAAACUUCAUCAGAAAUUGUUUCCUUUUGUCCAAUUGAUCAACAGAUACAGAAAAAACACGUUUCUUUUGGUGAUGGGUUACUAAUUAGCGGAUCGGUCCUCUAUUGAUAUCUUGGAUCUGAUGUAUGUUUAUACGAAGUACUACUCCCCAUACUCGCAAUCGGUUCGAUGGUUAUAGGCGUGUAAAACGAUCUAUUUGUUUACUUACUGGUAGCAACACAUUGGGGAUUCUUCCUAUUUCGGUGUGCUUAGCCGGUCGUGGUCGAGGCGUUACCAUCAUUCCUCGAGUUCAAGCUAGAAUCACUUUGUUUCAACUCAAACACCAUGUGAUUUCUGUCGAUGAUAAUCAAGUAGGAUGGUUUUUGGUACUUUACAUCAAACUUGUUCGUGGAUGGAAUCAGUUCGGGUUGAAUCAAGAUAAAGCAUGGAUUAUUAUUGAGUCUAUAAAAUACAUUAAUUAUUAUAAAAUAUAAUAUCAAUAUAAAAUUAAUUUUGAUUUUGCGCUAUCACCGGCCUUAAGUAGUGCUAGGACCAAUCGUAGUUUUUGGGAAUUCAGCCCCUCCUCGACUCUUAAAUAGGAGGAAACCUACAUCUUCUUGUAUUGACAAGAAUGCCGAUACCAAUCGAACUAAAACUCAAUAUUGUUUCUACCUACUUUACAUUUGUUUUGUACCCACUCUCUUUUCCUCAAUAAUUUCAGUAAGCAAAUAUUAUUAAAUAAUAAUAAUAACUGAAAAAAAUUAUUUCAAUAAAGUUUACCAUUGUUUAAAUAUUAUAAAAUAUCAGUAUUUUAGAAAUUUUAUACAUCUUCCUAAAAUUAUUUUCUGAAAAUAAUGCUCGAUAAACAACUUGAAUCAUGCGAUUGAUUGCUAGUCUUACGAUUGCUUAUGGCUUUAUUGGGCUCAUAUCGUUGUUCCCCCCUCGCAAUUUCAUCAUGUUGGGCAUUGGCGACGGCUGUGCUGGCUUAAGGAACUUGCACACCGAUCAUCACCAAUUAAGAUGUGGCUUUGUUGAGAUGUUGAAAUGCAGCUAAAUUUUCCUAAAUUCGAUGGGGCUCAAAGACAUGGAUGUUAGAUUUAUAAAAUAAAUCUAAAAUAAACUUAAUAAACUAGAAUCUAUCAUGUCAAAUUAUCAAGAAUAAAUAAAUAACAGAACUAUAUGCGGAAGCGUACCUGAAUCAUAGAUUCCUUGAAACUUUCUGGAUCUUGGGGAUUUAAUCUUCCAAAUUAGCACACAAGAAAUUCAGAGAAUAUCUGCUCUCUCUUUCCUAAUGAUGGGAUAUUAGAAAAGAUAUCUUGUGUAUAUUUUGGGGACCAUAACCCUAAUAUUUAUAACCUUAGCAUAUUAGUUCUAAUCAAAUUCUAAUUAGCCCAUCAUUAAUUAGAAUUUGAUUAGAAGAGUAUCUACACAUAUUUGACCCAUACUUUAUUUAAUAAUUAAAAGCCCAAUAAAAUUCUAACCAAAUUAGAUAACUUUUAAUUUGGGCUAACCUAUCAUGAUAGUAAAUAAUAACAUGUAAUUAUCCUUAUUAUAUAUGUGAUGUCCAAAUUUUCCAACAAUCUCCCACUUGGACCACAUAUAUAUACCAAUUACUUUAUAAUUACAUGUCAUUAUAUAACCUUAUGAGCUCAAAAUUUUACUAUCAUAUCCAAAAGGCAUUCCAUACAAUCUCGUCCAUUAAUUAUGUUAACAUAGAACCAAGGCGACUUUUCUUACAAAUAUCGUAACUAAAUCCAUCCAUGAUCACGUAUGUUAACACAACCAAAUGACACAGAUCAAGUAUGGAUGUGAAGCAUGGAAAUUACAUGCAAUAUGAUCUAAACAUGUCUAUUUCCAACUGGUCCUCCUUAGUGAGAUCAAAUUUUACCAAAAUCAGAGUGUGAAUAAACCAAAUAAACUUUACUUCUGUAGAAAAUAAACUUAUUAUCUUUAAACUGAAAUAACUGAAAAUGUGUCUAUAACAUAAAAGCAUUUAAAAAUACAAACUCCCACUAAAACCAAAUAUCCUUUAAAUGACAUUACAUCCAUAUGAACAAUGUGCUAUUAUAAAACCUUAGGUGUAGUUCCUUAGUAAGCGGAUCCGCAAUCAUGGAGUUUGUCCUAAUAUGUUUUAUAAGCACUUAACCACUCUGAACUUUUACUUUAACAACCUGCAGGAAC
rnacentral:lncRNA from 1 species